rnacentral:lncRNA from 1 species
AAAUUAAUAUAAUAGAAGUCAGCCCAAUUUAAUUCAACAUACAAAAUAACACAGCCCACUUUAAUUAAACAUAUUCAACAUGACCAAUCUCGUAAGCACUUGUGCUAUCUUAUGCUAAGUAAUGGGGUGACAUGCCAUACUAUAAUAGGUGGUGGAAGAUAAUGAUUGAUUACAAAGUUGAUUAUACUACAUAUUAUAAUGUGUCACGUCACCUCGUGCACUUGUGCUUAGAAAAUCAAUUUCAACAUGCAAAUUAACUUCCCAACCCAUUAUUUCACAGGCUCUCCCUUGCAAAUUGAAACCCUUUCUUGGUCUCUCUCGUUUCUCAACAAAAUUAUUGCCUCACGAAAUCUCUUAACCCGCUUGAUUCGUGCAUUCGUUUCAGUCAUAUUUUCUUGAUUCCUAAGUUUAAUUCUGUUCUUUUUCUUUUCUUUUUUUUUUUAGGUGCAAGCUUCAAGUACAGAAAAUUCACAAAGAUUUAAGCCGCGAUGCGAGGUACAUUUAGUAUAAGGGAAAAUGAAAUUUGUUUGCAAUUUUGUUUAAUUGGGAGGUCAAUUGAAUCUUGUCAAAAAUCUAUGUGAGUAUUCUUGAUGUGGUCAUCCCCCAUAUAUGUUUUCUUUAGUUUAAAUUGGGCUUGGCCCAAGCCCAUUUACUUUCUGGGUUUGUAGAUUUCUCUAUGGGAAAAUUGCCUAAAAUCAGGGGUUUAAGAUUUAAUUAUAAAAAAUAAGGUGAUUGAGAAUUUUUUAGAAAAAUUGGGUGUUAAAAAACUAAAUCAUUUUUUUCUCUAUUUGUGAAGCAGAAAGGGAAUGAAACCACAUUGGAGCGAUUAGUCGCCAUUCCUUCUCAUGCCCAAACCGAUCGCUACAACGAUGGUCACCUAUUAGUCGUCGUUCCUUCGCCAUGCCGGUGCAGUAGUCUAACUCAGAUGUCAGAUCCACCAAGUCCUCGACUUCCAUCUUCGUCAAAAUCUGACUCAGAUCCACCAAUAACUCUUUACUUGCAAUAUUCUUUCAGUUAUUAGCAUAUAACUUAUCAGUUGUUCUACAAUCUAUUCAAAUCUGACUAGAUAAUUUUCUAAUUUCAAUAAAUUCGAGGUCUUUAGUGU